rnacentral:rRNA from 2 species
UACGGAGGGUGCAAGCGUUAUCCGGAUUUACUGGGUUUAAAGGGUGCGUAGGUGGGUCUGUAAGUCAGUGGUGAAAUCUCCGGGCUUAACCCGGAAAUUGCCAUUGAUACUAUAGGUCUUGAAUCAUCUGGAGGUAAGCGGAAUAUGUCAUGUAGCGGUGAAAUGCUUAGAUAUGACAUAGAACACCAAUUGCGAAGGCAGCUUACUACGGAUGCAUUGACACUGAGGCACGAAAGCGUGGGGAUCAAACAGG